ensembl:lincRNA 2900052N01Rik RIKEN cDNA 2900052N01 gene
GCCAGGCUGAAGCUUUGUCCUAUGGAGAAGCAGAAAAGGUCAGAGGGGGAGAAAGAAAGAGCCCCUCCCCAUCGAGGAGCCAGCCAGGGAGGGAGACAAAAGGAGGCUCCAUGGAGAUGCAAUGUGAUCAGCUGGCCUUCUGCUCUGAUCACCAUGACUUCCCUGCCUGAAACCAUGUCUUCCCCUCCAUGAUGGAAGUUACAAGAUGAAAUAAAUCCCUCCUUCCCUAAAAUGGGUAUUUUUGUCUCAUCAACGAGAAAGUUAACUUAUGUAAAGCUGGCUCUAGGGAAGUCAUUAGGAUGUGAUGAGGUUGUUAGGGUAAGGUGCUGGUAAUGAUGUUAGUGGCUUUUGUAGAAAAGGAGGAGGAGGGGGGAGGAGGAGGAAGAGGAGGAGGAGGAGGAUCCAUGCUGUCUUACCACCUUGCCCCCUGGCCAUGCUAUGUUUCAGAUGAGACUUCAUCAGAUGCCAGGCAGAGCUGGCACCGUGCUUGAGCUUUCAGUCUCCAGAAAAAUAGCAAAAGAAAUUUCUAUUUUGUUCUCUUUUCCAGAAAAACAAGCAACAACAAUAAAACCCAACAUUUGUUCUAAAGCAAUGACAGAUAAAGAGAAACCUCUUCUUUUCAUAAUGACAACAAAUAAACACAGAAAGAAUAUGGAGUUCUUUAAAAAAAUAAAAUCACAAAUUUGCCAACAUUCUAAUAAAAGUUAAUAAGAUACAGGAUAAUCAAAAGAUACUAAAUCUAGGAAGGGCAGGUGUGAGGAGCCACAGAAUUGUCAACACAAUAUCAACGUUUCUUAUAAAACAGUAACUGCAAAGGGAGAAAUAGUAACUAGACAAUGGAGAAAGUAGACAGCCUCUUUUCUGUGUGAUGGAAAUUAACACCAAUAACAGGGACUAUUCUGUUCAUCUGGGCUUGGUACCCAGGGUUGCAUCACUUAAUAGGAUUCUCACCCACACCACACAAUCCAAAUCUACCCACAAGGAAACAUCAGGAAACUCCAGGGAAGCUGAUCUAGUCUUCAAACACAUCAAUACUACAAAAGACUGGAAAGGGCAGAGGAAUCGCUCCAAAUCAGCGUCAUGACAGCACAAUCUACAAUCCCAGACUGGAUCCCGUCUCUGAGAAAUUACCAACAGAGCAAAUGAAAUCAGAAUAGAGACUGCAGAUCAGAUGAAAGUCCCAUCUGAAUGGGAGACUGCAGGAUUUAUAUGCUUGCGUGAGACUGUGUGCUUGCUCUUGUGAAGUGCGUGUAUAGUAUUAAAGCAUGGAGGGCUGGGUAUCUGUACUAUCUCUCAAAUGGGCUAAAUAUCAAGGAAUAGAAAGUUAUAAAGCAAACACAGGAAUCAUCAUAACAAAAGAAGAUAACAUGUGUAGCAAUGAAUGUUUUCUUUUCUUUUAUUUAAUUUUCUCCCAAACAAGCAUAUCCACACUGACAUGUAAGUGUAUUUCUGGAGUAUGAAAACUUUAAGUACUACCCAAAUCCUCCAUGUAAGGCAAGCAGUGAAAAUAUUCUUUGAGGGUUGGUUGUCGACUUGUGUAUAACGGGCUAUGUCUUUCCCAGGAAGCAUGGUACUACAGCCUCUAGAGUUUUCUAUAUGUAUGCACAAACUUCUGCACUCACGGGGAGUUGUUUCGUUUUGAUGGCGACAGUCUCUACGUUUUUGUCAUUUCCAUGUUUGCUUUUCUAAAGCUUGUGCUUGGCUUUAAUGCAGAGAUCAUAUUUUUCUCUUCAUACCUUCUCUGUGGAGCAGUGUCUGAAGUGUGUGCACUCAGCUAGCAGACUCAGUGUGUGGGUCAUGGCAUGAACAUAAUGUGAAGAUUUUUCGAUGUUUGUUUCCUGUUCUGCAGUGUGGCAUCAAUGACAACCUGAACAGGAGGUCCUGAGUCUGCUCACUGGACCAACUUGUGAGAGGAAAGUACUCAGCUAGAUCUGUAAAAUGAGAGGCAUACAGGUUUAAGUCCCAGGUUGACCUCAAGUUAAUCAACCCAGCUUUUAAUUGGUCUGUGAUCAUCUAAUUGGGUUCAAUUGUAAAUUCCUUAUUAAACUUCUAUUCUUUAUAAGUCA